rnacentral:sRNA from 1 species
GGUAUCCGUAGGUCCGGGGCACUUUUUUUUUUGGUGUGUGUGUGUGCGCGCGUGUGUGUGUUGGGUGUGUGUGUUUUGGGGGUUUGCCGGGGCGCGGAGAGGAGAGCCGGGCCGAGGGGAAGGAAGGAAGCCGUAGAGCUCCCCGGUCUCGGGCUGCGUCUCCCCUCCCGCGCUCUCCUGCCUGUGCGCUCCGACGCGGCAGCGGCGGUGGCGCUGAGCGCUCCUCGCUGGGGACGCGGUGCUCAAGCUGGGAGCAGCGAGAACCCUUUGCGGAGGCUUCCCACGGAACAGCAGGCUCUCCUCUCCGAGGGGGGGCG